rnacentral:rRNA from 1 species
UUGAGCCUUGAUGUGUAGGAUAGGUGGGAGGCUUAGAAGUGUGGACGCCAGUCUGCAUGGAGCCGACCUUGAAAUACCACCCUUUAAUGUUUGAUGUUCUAACUUUGACCCGUAAUCCGGGUUGCGGACAGUGUCUGGUGGGUAGUUUGACUGGGGCGGUCUCCUCCUAAAGAGUAACGGAGGAGCACGAAGGUUGGCUAAUCCUGGUCGGACAUCAGGAGGUUAGUGCAAUGGCAUAAGCCAGCUUGACUGCGAGCGUGACGGCGCGAGCAGGUGCGAAAGCAGGUCAUAGUGAUCCGGUGGUUCUGAAUGGAAGGGCCAUCGCUCAACGGAUAAAAGGUACUCCGGGGAUAACAGGCUGAUACCGCCCAAGAGUUCAUAUCGACGGCGGUGUUUGGCACCUCGAUGUCGGCUCAUCACAUCCUGGGGCUGAAGUAGGUCCCAAGGGUAUGGCUGUUCGCCAUUUAAAGUGGUACGCGAGCUGGGUUUAGAACGUCGUGAGACAGUUCGGUCCCUAUCUGCCGUGGGCGCUGGAGAACUGAGGGGGGCUGCUCCUAGUACGAGAGGACCGGAGUGGACGCAUCACUGGUGUU